rnacentral:rRNA from 1 species
CCAGUACAGGAUGGACCCGCGUCUGAUUAGCUAGUUGGUAAGGUAACGGCUUACCAAGGCGACGAUCAGUAGCCGACCUGAGAGGGUGAUCGGCCACAUUGGAACUGAGACACGGUCCAAACUCCUACGGGAGGCAGCAGUGGGGAAUAUUGCACAAUGGGCGAAAGCCUGAUGCAGCAACGCCGCGUGAGUGAUGAAGGCCUUCGGGUCGUAAAACUCUGUCCUCAAGGAAGAUAAUGACGGUACUUGAGGAGGAAGCCCCGGCUAACUACGUGCCAGCAGCCGCGGUAAUACGUAGGGGGCUAGCGUUAUCCGGAUUUACUGGGCGUAAAGGGUGCGUAGGCGGUCUUUCAAGUCAGGAGUGAAAGGCUACGGCUCAACCGUAGUAAGCUCUUGAAACCGGGAGACUUGAGUGCAGGAGAGGAGAGUGGAAUUCCUAGUGUAGCGGUGAAAUGCGUAGAUAUUAGGAGGAACACCAGUUGCGAAGGCGGCUCUCUGGACUGUAACUGACGCUGAGGCACGAAAGCGUGGGGAGCAAACAGGAUUAGAUACCCUGGUAGUCCACGCUGUAAACGAUGAGUACUAGGUGUCGGGGGUUACCCCCUUCG